GCCGGAGUGGUGAAAUUGGUAUACACGUACGGUUCAGAGCCGUAUGGGGCAACCCAUGAGGGUUCGAGUCCCUCCUCCGGCA
rfam:Candidatus Buchananbacteria bacterium RIFCSPLOWO2_01_FTLL_56_15 rifcsplowo2_01_scaffold_12617, whole genome shotgun sequence.